UACAACUUUCAACAACGGAUCUCUUGGCUCUCGCAUCGAUGAAGAACGCAGCGAAAUGCGAUACGUAAUGUGAAUUGCAGAAUUCAGUGAAUCAUCGAAUCUUUGAACGCACCUUGCGCCCCCUGGUAUUCCGAGGGGCACACCCGUUUGAGUGUCGUGAAAACCUCAA
rnacentral:rRNA from 1 species